rnacentral:miRNA from 1 species
CAGACAAGGUCGCCUUGACCA